GGACCCGCACAAGUAGUGGAGCAUGUGGUUUAAUUCGAAGAUACGCGCAGAACCUUACCAACACUUGACAUGUUCGUCGCGACUUUAAGAGAUUAAAGUUUUCGGUUCGGCCGGACGAAACACAGGUGCUGCAUGGCUGUCGUCAGCUCGUGUCGUGAGAUGUUGGGUUAAGUCCCGCAACGAGCGCAACCCUCACUUUUAGUUGCCAUCAUUUAGUUGGGCACUCUGAAAGAACUGCCAGUGAUAAGCUGGAGGAAGGUGGGGAUGACGUCAAGUCCUCAUGGCCCCUUACGUGUUGGGCUACACACGUGCUACAAUGGUAUCUACAACAGGAAGCAAAACGGCAACGUUAAGCAAAUCCUUAAAAGAUACCUCAGUUCGGAUUGCACUCUGCAACUCGAGUGCAUGAAGCUGGAAUUACUAGUAAUCG
rnacentral:rRNA from 1 species